rnacentral:rRNA from 1 species
AGUGAACGCUGGCGGUAGGCCUAACACAUGCAAGUCGAACGGCAGCACAGUAAGAGCUUGCUCUUACGGGUGGCGAGUGGCGGACGGGUGAGGAAUACAUCGGAAUCUACUUUUUCGUGGGGGAUAACGUAGGGAAACUUACGCUAAUACCGCAUACGACCUACGGGUGAAAGCAGGAGAUCUUCGCACCUUGCGCGAUUGAAUGAGCCGAUGUCGGAUUAGCUAGUUGGCGAGGUAAAGGCCCACCAAGGCGACGAUCCGUAGCUGGUCUGAGAGGAUGAUCAGCCACACUGGAACUGAGACACGGUCCAGACUCCUACGGGAGGCAGCAGUGGGGAAUAUUGCGCAAUGGGCGAAAGCCUGAUCCAGCCAUGCCGCGUGGGUGAAGAAGGCCUUCGGGUUGUAAAGCCCUUUUGUUGGGAAAGAAAAGCAGCAGGUUAAUACCCCGCUGUUCUGACGGUACCCAAAGAAUAAGCACCGGCUAACUUCGUG